rnacentral:rRNA from 1 species
GCGAACGUUAGCGGCGGGCCUAACACAUGCAUGUCGCACGAGAAAGCAGCUUCCGGCUGUGAGUAAAGUGGCGGACGGGUGAGUAACACGUGGGUAAUCUGCCCUUACGGUUGGGGAUGACUAGCCGAAAGGUUAGCUAAUACCGAAUACGUCGUCGGGGACCUAGGUUCUUGACGGGAAAGCCGGCCUCUCCAUGGAAGCUGGCGCUGAAGGAGGGAGGCCCGCGGCCCAUCAGCUAGUUGGCGAGGUAACGGCUCACCAAGGCUAAGGACGGGUAGCUGGUGCUGAGAGGAUGAUCAGCCACACUUGGGACUGAGGACACGGCCCAGACUCCUACGGGAGGCAGCAGUGGGGAUACUGGGCAAUGGUGCGCAAGGCCUGACCCAGCCAUCACGCCGCGUUGAGUGAUGAGGCCUUCGGGUCGUAAAGCUCUGUGGGGAGGGACGAAACCUUAUGACCUAACACGUCAUGAGCUGACGGUACCAUCCUUAGCAAGCACCGGCUAACUCCGUGCCAGCAGCCGCGGUAAUACGGAGGGUGCAACGUUGCUCGGAAUCAUUGGGCGUAAAGCGCACGUAGGCGGUCCAGCAAGUCGGGUGGAAAGCCACUCGGUUAACUGAGGAAGUGCAUUCGAAAACUACUGGACUUGAAUACUGACAGAGGAUCGCGGAAUUCCCGGUGUAGAGGUGAAAUUCGUAGAUAUCGGGAGGAACAGCCAGUGGCGAAGGCGGCGGAUCUGGGCAGAUAUUGACGCUGAGGUGCGAAAGCGUGGGGAGCAAACAGGAUUAGAUACCCCUGGUAGUCCACGCCGCUAAACGAUGGAUGCUAGUGCGUCGCGGGUAUUGACCCCUGCGGCGAACGAUCGUUAACGCAUUAAGCAUCCCGCCUGGGGAGUACGGCCGCAAUGGCUAAAACUCAAAGGCAUUGACGGGGGCCCGCACAAGCGGUGGAGCAUGUGGUUCAAUUCGACGCAACGCGCAGAACACUUACCUGGGUUAAAUCCACUCGAAGUCUGUAGAGAUAUGGAUGUGCUCGCAGAGAGAGCGAGUGAGAAGGUGCUGCAUGGCUGUCGUCAGCUCGUGUCGUGAGAUGUUGGGUUAAGUCCCGCAAACGAGCGCAAACCACUGUCGUUAGUUGCCCACAGGAAAGCUGAGGCACUCUAACGAGACUGGCCGACGUUAAGUCGGAGGAAGGUGGGGAUGAUCGUCAAGUCCUCAUGGCCCUGUAUGCCCAGGGCUUACACACGUGCUACAAUGGCCGGUACAGAGGGUCGCAAACUCGCGAGAGUGAGCCAAUCUCAAAAAACCGGUCUCAGUUCGGAUAGAAGUCUUGCAACUCGACUUCUUGAAGUCGGAAUCGCUAGUAAUCCCGGAUCAGCACGCCGGGGUGAAUACGUUCCCGGGCCUGUGUACACACCGCCCGUCACACCCAUGGGAGUCGUUGCUCCAGAAGUCGGCUUGCCUAACCGUAAGGAGGGCGGUCCCCCAAGGAGUGGCUGGUGACUGGGGUG